rnacentral:rRNA from 1 species
UGGGGGAAUUUUUGGACAAUGGGGGAAACCCUGAUCCAGCCAUCCCGCGUGUGCGAUGAAGGCCUCCGGGUUGUAAAGCACUUUUGGCAGGAAAGAAACGUCGCGGGUUAAUACCCCGCGAAACUGACGGUACCUGCAGAAUAAGCACCGGCUAACUACGUGCCAGCAGCCGCGGUAAUACGUAGGGUGCAAGCGUUAAUCGGAAUUACUGGGCGUAAAGCGUGCGCAGGCGGUUCGGAAAGAAAGAUGUGAAAUCCCAGAGCUUAACUUUGGAACUGCAUUUUUAACUACCGGGCUAGAGUGUGUCAGAGGGAGGUGGAAUUCCNCGUGUGCAGUGAAAUGCGUAGAUAUGCGGAGGAACACCGAUGGCGAAGGCAGCCUCGUGGGAUAACACUGACGCUCAUGCACG